GGGUCAGUAGGUUGGUCGUGCCACCGGUACGUACUGGUCUCACUGAUUCCUCCUUCCUGAAGAACCGUAAUGCCAUUAAUUUGGUGCUGCGGGGAAACAGGACUGUUACUUCGAAAAAAUUAGAGUGUUUAAAGCAAGCUAACGCUUGAAUACAUUAGCAUGGAAUAAUGAAAUAGGACGAUCGAUCCUAUUUUGUUGGUUUCUAGGAUUGACGUA
rnacentral:rRNA from 1 species